rnacentral:rRNA from 1 species
GACGAACGCUGGCGGCGUGCUUAACACAUGCAAGUCGAACGGAAAGGCCCUGCUUUUGUGGGGUGCUCGAGUGGCGAACGGGUGAGUAACACGUGAGUAACCUGCCCUUGACUUUGGGAUAACUUCAGGAAACUGGGGCUAAUACCGGAUAGGAGCUCCUGCUGCAUGGUGGGGGUUGGAAAGUUUCGGCGGUUGGGGAUGGACUCGCGGCUUAUCAGCUUGUUGGUGGGGUAGUGGCAUACCAAGGCUUUGACGGGUAGCCGGCCUGAGAGGGUGACCGGCCACAUUGGGACUGAGAUACGGCCCAGACUGCUACGGGAGGCAGCAGUGGGGAAUAUUGCACAAUGGGCGGAAGCCUGAUGCAGCAACGCCGCGUGCGGGAUGACGGCCUUCGGGUUGUAAACCGCUUUCGCCUGUGACGAAGCGUGAGUGACGGUAAUGGGUAAAGAAGCACCGGCUAACUACGUG